GCCCAGAACCACCUGCGGCCACGAGCAGAGCCACCACCACCGCCGGCCUAAUCCCGAGCUGAGCCAGUGCUUAGGCCCUUUCUUCUAUCUUUUGUUCCGUUUCAUCUUCUUCCUCACCGUUGGUGGAUUUCGAUUCACCCUCUCCGGCUUCCCGGCGAGCACCUCCACCCGUCAUCGUCUCUGCUCGCCGUGGCGCCUCCCUGUUGCGCCGUUCCUUCGUCUGCGCUUUGGUGUCUGAACCGUCGAAAAACGAGCCCGUUGAGCCUAUCGAGUCCGUCGAGCCUGAACCUGGAGUCCAGUUUGUGGUCGAGCCUGAAGUUAACCAAGACAAGCAGCUAAGCAUGAUCCCUUGGACCUAUUUAAUUUGAUUAGUUUAGUUAUCUCACUUGGGUAUUGUGGGGUUAUAUAUAUUAUGUACGUACUGCAUUUUUAUACCUACCUUAAUGCAUUGUCCUUCCUUAAAUUGUUUAACCAUGUCCUUGCCACAUGUUAGUCAAUUAAUAAUUUAAUUUGACUAGA